rnacentral:rRNA from 1 species
CCUACGGGAGGCAGCAGUGAGGAAUAUUGGUCAAUGGCCGGAAGGCUGAACCAGCCAAGCCGCGUGAGGGAGGAAGGCGCAGAGCGUCGCAGACCUCUUUUGCCGGGGGACAAAAGGCCGGACUCGUCCGGUCCUGAGGGUACCCGGAGAAAAAGCAUCGGCUAACUCCGUGACAGCAGCCGCGGUAAUACGGAGGAUGCGAGCGUUAUCCGGAUUCAUUGGGUUUAAAGGGUGCGCAGGCGGGCCUUUAAGCCGGCGGUGAAAUCGCGGGGCUCAACCCCGCCGCGCCGUCGGAACUGGGGGCCUUGAGUGCGGGGGAGGCAUGCGGAAUGCGCGGUGUAGCGGUGAAAUGCAUAGAUAUCGCGCAGAACCCCGAUUGCGAAGGCAGCGGGCCGUGCCGCCACUGACGCUGAGGCACGAAAGCGCGGGGAUCGAACAGGAUUAGAUACCCUAGUAGUC